AUGCUUUGAACUAUUUUGCGCAUAGCUGUUCUUUGUAAAUUUCAUGGGUGGGAUUCGCUGAUGAUUUAAAGGAAUUUUUGUCAAAAGUAAAUGCCUGGAUUAGGGACUGUAGCCUCUUGGAAUAGUGAAAAGCACUUCCGGCCAAGAACGUAAUUGAAAGUUAAAUGACGAUUGAAAAACCCUGGUUUAGAUCUAAUGCACCAAAACUGGGAUAAGGUGGUCCUACAGAGUGGACAAGAAGCAGAAGCAGCCAGGACCUGCCUAGAAGGGAUGGACCUUGCUGUCAGCAAUCAGUGGCUGGUUGAGACUCUGAUGAAGUGUCAUAAAAAAACAAGCACUUUUGUACUUAAGAAGCUGUAGGAUGGUUUCUCAGCCCGCAGGAACUGUCUGGAACAACUUUUUAAAUAGUCUAUAGAAUGACCUAGUUGGGUCUGACUGCCAUUCAAGUUAAUGCAGCAAUAAAUUCCAAGAUUUCAGCUGCUCGUAGAUGUGUGAGGAAUGUAAAUGAUGCAAUGGAACCAGAGUACAACAAAAUGGAGAUUUUGAAGACUACAACAAACCGACCAAUUUCUCCAACCCAAUGUAUGACAGUAUAACAGGAUUAGAACCUGCUAAUCCCCCUAAAAAGGAUUAGAACCUGCUAAU